AUUUUUUUUGGAUUCUUUUAAAUUUGGGUUGGCAAAAGAAUAUGAGAUUGAUUCCUUCUAAUUUGAUUCAUCUUUUUCGACAAUUAUUCUCUGAGCUCACUGUUCACUUUCUCUCUCAAAAACAAAUUUGUAGAUCUAGUUUUUAUUUGGCGUGAAUUUCGUUUUCUUAUGGUUGAUUGUUACUGUUUUCUUAUGGUUGAUCGUUUUCUUCUUAAGUUGCUCUUAUUUUUAUUUUUAUUUUUUUGGUUUAGAUCCACCGGCAAAAUCACUGAAAAAAAAAAAAAAAAGCUUCUAUUUGUUAUUCUCUCAAUUGUUUCUAUUUUUCAUUUCUCUUCUUUCUUCUUCUUCUUCUUCUUCUUCUUCAUCAGCUCUUUGAUUUUUUUGAAUCUUGAUCUGUGAGGAAAGACUCUUUGAAUCUCUCUAUCUCUCUGCUCAAGACGUGAAUUUGAGGCAAACCCAUUACGAAUGGAUCAACUCCUUCUACUUCAUUGGCUAUCACAAGACCAGCGUCCUCAGCUGCUGAUCAGGGUUUGAUGAUUCUCCAAUCUCCAAAAGUAGGGUUCUACAGGAGAUCCAAAACUAUAAAGGGUAAACGCAUGCCUUCGUCAUGUAAAGAGAAAGACCAAGUGAAAGAAGGUCAAAUUCUGUGCUACAUUGAACAACUCGGUGGCCAAUUCCAAGUCUUCUUCGUGUAAUGAUUUUUUAUUUUCUCGUUUACUCAUAUGGAACAGAGCCUGUAGGAUACAAUGAUGCUCUCAUCUCGAUCCUUCCCUCUUUCCCUGGGAUUAAGAAGCUUCAAGAAGAAAAAAAUGGUCAUCUGAGGAGGAUGAGGAGCUCAUUGCUGCUGUGAAGCGACAUGGUGAAGGCAGCUGGGCCCUUAUUGCUAAGGAAGAAUUUGAAGGAGAGCGAACACCCUCACAACUCUCACAGGUUCGUAGGAUUUUUGUUGCAGGUUCGUGUAGCUCUUCAAGUUUUUGUCAAUUUAAGACCGAUAACAGUGAGUAUCUCUCAUUAGCAGAUCACUGCUUAUGAUCAUCUGGGAGUUUACUGGAGGUCUCUCUCUCUCUCUCUCUCUCUCUCUCUCUCUCUCUCUCUCUCUAUCAUCUUCUUCUUCUUCUUCUUCAGUUGCUUCCAAUUUAAAGUCUUCCUUAUACUAUAAAGAGUGUUUUAUGUGAAAACGAUAGUAUGUAUUAGAAAGUGAUUAAUUCUUGUAUUGUUGAUUAAACAUAGUUCUUUAAUAGUUCAAUAUGUAAAGAAAUUCGUAUAAACCUUAAUUAU